UGAGUAAUAUAUCGGAACGUACCCAGAAGUGGGGGAUAACGUAGCGAAAGUUACGCUAAUACCGCAUACGUUCUACGGAAGAAAGUGGGGGACCGCAAGGCCUCAUGCUUUUGGAGCGGCCGAUAUCUGAUUAGCUAGUUGGUGGGGUAAAGGCCCACCAAGGCGACGAUCAGUAGCUGGUCUGAGAGGACGACCAGCCACACUGGGACUGAGACACGGCCCAGACUCCUACGGGAGGCAGCAGUGGGGAAUUUUGGACAAUGGGGGCAACCCUGAUCCAGCCAUGCCGCGUGAGUGAAGAAGGCCUUCGGGUUGUAAAGCUCUUUCGGCCGGGAAGAAAUCGCAUAGGUUAAUACCCUGUGUGGAUGACGGUACCGGAAUAAGAAGCACCGGCUA
rnacentral:rRNA from 1 species